rnacentral:lncRNA from 1 species
UCUAGAAUUUGCUUCCUGAGCAAGUGGAGAUAUAACCUCAGCAGUGGCAAAGAAGAAGCUUGGAAACAGUACUUGGAACUGAGCAAGCUGAGUACAGCUGUGAGAAACAAGUGCCCUUUUCAUGAUGGAAACUGGGUUAUUUAAUCAGAAGAAAGUCAAAUUAAAAAAAAAAAAUACGGAGAAAAAGCUAUUGUUUCUUGUGUAUAUUUUCAAUUGCUCAAUAAAGUCUGUGUACUGUUUAAUGAAGAAUACCUGAAUUAUGCCAAACAAUGAUAUUUGUUUCCAUAUUUUGUGGUUUCCUUUCAAAAGCAAAACUAAACAAAAUGGUUCACAAUCACGUAUGACUCUGAUUUCUAGGGGUGGUGCACUGCAAAAUGAAACUGGUGAAGGAUUAAAGGCAAAUUAAAUAUUAUCUGAAGGAAAAACUACUUCAACUUUUAUUUUCUACCUCACCUACAGAAGGUCAUGGAGUCAAAUGCUGGACCCUCUGCAUCCAGUUGCCUCAUGGAAAAGAUGGACCAAUUCAGUCAUGUACUGUUUGAUGAGAUCUGGUACCAUGGCUCACCUAGAUUCAAGGAAAGGUAUGAAACAUUACUGGCUAUUGCUGUUCAUUAGAGUUCAGUGCCCAAGGUAGUCAUUGGAAACUUGUCAUCCUCUGCCUAUACAUGUCAAAAUUUCAGGUGCUUAGAAGUAAAGGAGAUAAUCAGAAUAAACCAUGUUUUUUUGCACAAUUUAGGUAUCAUAAACCAGGCUUAUCAGGAAACAAUGGGAGAUCUAAAAUCUAAUUUGUAAAAUGCCAGCUAAGGGCCAUGUUAUAAACAGGGCUGUGUAACAAAAGCAGUCUUGAGUUUACUAUGCUAAUUAUUUUCUGCAAACUUGCCUUGUUGUUUUUUUAGGAAAAGUGUCCAACUUCUCAUCAUGAACUCUGUUAGAUUUAGACUGUUAUAGAUAUUCUUUAUCAAACUGAGGCAGUUCAUAACUCUAUUACUAGUUUUCUGAGUUUCUUUGUUUAAUCAUAAAUGGGUGUAUUAGUCAUGAUCCUUUAGAGAAACAGAACCAAUAGGAUAUGUGUAUGUACAUAAAUAGAAAGAUAAAUAUUAUAAGGAAUUUACUCAAACAAUUUCGGAAGCUGGCCAGUCCAACAUCUUUUGCAUCUUUUCUCCUGGAGACUCAGGAGAGCUUAUGGCAAAGGUGAAUUAUAAAGGCAUCCUGCUGAAGAACUAUCUCUUGCUCUAGAAUGCUAGUUUUUUUGUUCUACUCAGGCCUUUCACCUAUUGGAUGAGGCCAUUGAGGAGGAAAAUCUGCUUACUCAAAGUUCACCCACUUAGGAGUUCCCAUUGUAGCUCAGUAGAAACAAGUCUGACUAAUAUCCAUGAGCACACAGGUUCAAUCCCUGGCCUUGCUCAGUGUGUUAAGGAUCUGGCGUUGCCAUGAGCUGUGGUGGAGGUCUCAGAUGCGGCUUAGAUCUGGUGUUGCUGUGGCUGUGGUGCAGGCUGUCAGGCUACAGCUCUGAUUCAACCCCUAGCCUGUGAACCCCCAUAUGCCUCAGGUGCAGCCCUAAAAAAAAAAAAAAAAAAAAA